CCAGCACCACGUGAGCGGGAUGCGUGUGGUUGCUGGUGAGCGUUGCCUGCAGCCCGACCUUGGCAGUAUGGGAGACGUCCAGGAUGCGGGGGUCCAGAUCUGUCGCCCAGUCACCACCACCACCACCACUCAUAAGACACUGUGACACGUAAAAAUAUUUCGAGGUGAAAACCUGCGACUGAACCUCCCGCGCCAGGAAGUCCGAGGAGAGGGUGGCGGCCACGUAGAGCAGCAGGGCGAAGAGCGAGACGGUCACCAGGAACCAGAACACGCCCAGGAGGUUGCGGCGGUUGUUCCACGUGUGGCCGACCCCGUGUGCUGUGGACUCCUGGCACAUCAGAUCCGUCAUGUCCGCCACGGGCAAAGCUAAGUGACUGAAGUAAUCAUCCCUGGGAGCGAGGUGCAUUGAAAGCAGGUGUUGGUGAAGCAAUAGAGCGUUGUUCCUGAGUGCAGUGAAGAUCAGCGGUCGUGACUCACCUUAUCAUAAGUGAAGGAGCCUUCGUGCCCGGCCCGCUGCAUGCCUCCUGAAGCC